rnacentral:rRNA from 1 species
UACGGGGGGGGCAAGCGUUGUUCGGAAUUACUGGGCGUAAAGGGUGCGUAGGUGGGCAGGUAAGUCAGUGGUGAAAUCUCCGGGCUUAACUCGGAAACUGCCAUUGAUACUAUCUGUCUUGAAUACCGUGGAGGUCAGCGGAAUAUGUCAUGUAGCGGUGAAAUGCUUAGAUAUGACAUAGAACACCAAUUGCGAAGGCAGCUGGCUACACGAAUAUUGACACUGAUGCACGAAAGCGUGGGGAUCAAACAGG